rnacentral:rRNA from 1 species
GAAAACGCGAGGUGGAGCUAAUCUCAUAAAACCGUUCUCAGUUCGGAUUGUAGGCUGCAACUCGCCUACAUGAAGCUGGAAUCGCUAGUAAUCGCGGAUCAGCAUGCCGCGGUGAAUACGUUCCCGGGCCUUGUACACACCGCCCGUCACACCACGAGAGUUUGUAACACCCGAAGUCGGUGGGGUAACCUUUUUGGAGCCAGCCGCCUAAGGUGGGACAGAUGAUUGGGGUGAAGUCGUAACAAGGAAGCCGUAUA